GGGGGAUGUUGUCUAAACACACAGCAAGGAUGGUCAAGUCAGCAAGAGCCAUUGGUUCCUUUGUCUGGCCCUCUGCAGGACAGGGCCACGUGAGCAGGCUGGAGUCUUGAAAAUAUGAAAUUGGACACGCGGUAUGAAUCAUAUCCUGCUUCAGCAAGCCUUUAAGACGAUGCAGAAAACAGCUUUACAACAUGAGGGCCUACGUGCAACUUGCUGUCAGUCAGUGCUGGAGACCAGGGGGCAUGAGGCCUCCAGAAGCACCUUCCACCUUCCACACAGCGGAAAAAGGAAGAAAGAUGGAUGGCCAGGUUCAUGUAAUUGUGAAAGCCAGGAGCAUUUUGUGGGGGCCUGAGCAUCAAGCAUUCAAAGAACUGCCCGGAACACGAGUGGGAAAUAACCUGAACCUUUAUGUAAGCUCUGCUCAUGCAGACAGACAUGGAAUAGAAUCUCAUUGUGGACUGUGAACAACUGGCUCCUUCUAGAAUGUUCCAAGCAAACAGGACUGGAAAACUGUAGCUUCACCAUUGAGAAACUGACAGGAGCAGCCUCAGGCUGGCACACAAGGACAACAUCUGUCAU